GCGUCGUUAGCUCAGCUGGAUAGAGUACCUGGCUACGAACCAGUAGGUCGGGGGUUCGAAUCCCUCACGACGUGCCA
rnacentral:tRNA from 1 species